CCAUUGCAGGUGCUCCUCCCGAGCCCAGCCAGCCCCCUCCCUGCACUGGUGGCUGGGGGAGGCCCUGCUGGAGAGGAACCACAGCAAUGCCUCCCACACAGUCACCUUCCACUCAGCAGAGCCCUGGGUCAACAGCUCCCUGAGCAUCCAUGGGGAGCUUGCGUCCAACCUCAGGCUGGCAUAUGAGGCCCACAACGCUCACGGGAAAGAGACAGUGACUGUCCUGCUGCUGCCAGGGAGACCAGGAUAUGGGACAGGAGUGAUUCAGGGGGCUCUUGGGGGAGCUGGUGCCACAGCCCUGCUGGCUGUCUUCCUGAGCCUCAUCAUACUGAGGAUCUGCAGGAAGAAAUGGGCAGAGAAGGCAGAGAGCCAGGAAGGCAUCUCCCAGGGUCACCUGAAGGCACCCUCCUCCCACCACCUGCCCCCAG